GGGUUGUGAGGUUAAGCGACUAAGCGUACACGGUGGAUGCCCUGGCAGUCAGAGGCGAUGAAGGACGUGCUAAUCUGCGAUAAGCGUCGGUAAGGUGAUAUGAACCGUUAUAACCGGCGAUUUCCGAAUGGGGAAACCCAGUGUGAUCCGUCACACUAUCAUUACGUGAAUACAUAGCGUAAUGAAGCGAACCGGGGGAACUGAAACAUCUAAGUACCCCGAGGAAAAGAAAUCAACCGAGAUUCCCCCAGUAGCGGCGAGCGAACGGGGAGCAGCCCAGAGUCUGAAUCAGCUUGUGUGUUAGUGGAACGGUCUGGAAAGUCCGACGGUACAGGGUGAUAGUCCCGUACACCAAAAUGCACAGGUUGUGAACUCGAAGAGUAGGGCGGGACACGUGGUAUCCUGUCUGAAUAUGGGGGGACCAUCCUCCAAGGCUAAAUACUCCUGACUGACCGAUAGUGAACCAGUACCGUGAGGGAAAGGCGAAAAGAACCCCGGCGAGGGGAGUGAAAAAGAACCUGAAACCGUGUACGUACAAGCAGUGGGAGCAUCCUUUUGGGUGUGACUGCGUACCUUUUGUAUAAUGGGUCAGCGACUUAUAUUCUGUAGCAAGGUUAACCGUAUAGGGGAGCCGAAGGGAAACCGAGUCUUAACUGGGCGUUAAGUUGCAGGGUAUAGACCCGAAACCCGGUGAUCUAGCCAUGGGCAGGUUGAAGGUUGGGUAACACUAACUGGAGGACCGAACCGACUAAUGUUGAAAAAUUAGCGGAUGACUUGUGGCUGGGGGUGAAAGGCCAAUCAAACCGGGAGAUAGCUGGUUCUCCCCGAAAGCUAUUUAGGUAGCGCCUCGUGAAUUCAUCUUCGGGGGUAGAGCACUGUUUCGGCUAGGGGGUCAUCCCGACUUACCAACCCGAUGCAAACUGCGAAUACCGAAGAAUGUUAUCACGGGAGACACACGGCGGGUGCUAACGUCCGUCGUGAAGAGGGAAACAACCCAGACCGCCAGCUAAGGUCCCAAAGUCAUGGUUAAGUGGGAAACGAUGUGGGAAGGCACAGACAGCCAGGAUGUUGGCUUAGAAGCAGCCAUCAUUUAAAGAAAGCGUAAUAGCUCACUGGUCGAGUCGGCCUGCGCGGAAGAUGUAACGGGGCUAAACCAUGCACCGAAGCUGCGGCAGCGACACUAUGUGUUGUUGGGUAGGGGAGCGUUCUGUAAGCCGUUGAAGGUGUGCUGUGAGGCAUGCUGGAGGUAUCAGAAGUGCGAAUGCUGACAUAAGUAACGAUAAUGCGGGUGAAAAACCCGCACGCCGGAAGACCAAGGGUUCCUGUCCAACGUUAAUCGGGGCAGGGUGAGUCGACCCCUAAGGCGAGGCCGAAAGGCGUAGUCGAUGGGAAACAGGUUAAUAUUCCUGUACUUGGUGUUACUGCGAAGGGGGGACGGAGAAGGCUAUGUUAGCCGGGCGACGGUUGCCCCGGUUUAAGCAUGUAGGCGGAGGUUCCAGGUAAAUCCGGUACCUUUUUAACGCUGAGGUGUGAUGACGAGGCACUACGGUGCUGAAGUAACAAAUGCCCUGCUUCCAGGAAAAGCCUCUAAGCAUCAGGUAACACGAAAUCGUACCCCAAACCGACACAGGUGGUCAGGUAGAGAAUACCAAGGCGCUUGAGAGAACUCGGGUGAAGGAACUAGGCAAAAUGGUGCCGUAACUUCGGGAGAAGGCACGCUGAUAUGUAGGUGAAGUGAUUUACUCAUGGAGCUGAAAUCAGUCGAAGAUACCAGCUGGCUGCAACUGUUUAUUAAAAACACAGCACUGUGCAAACACGAAAGUGGACGUAUACGGUGUGACGCCUGCCCGGUGCCGGAAGGUUAAUUGAUGGGGUUAUCCGUAAGGAGAAGCUCUUGAUCGAAGCCCCGGUAAACGGCGGCCGUAACUAUAACGGUCCUAAGGUAGCGAAAUUCCUUGUCGGGUAAGUUCCGACCUGCACGAAUGGCGUAAUGAUGGCCAGGCUGUCUCCACCCGAGACUCAGUGAAAUUGAACUCGCUGUGAAGAUGCAGUGUACCCGCGGCAAGACGGAAAGACCCCGUGAACCUUUACUAUAGCUUGACACUGAACACUGGUCCUUGAUGUGUAGGAUAGGUGGGAGGCUUUGAAGUGUGGACGCCAGUCUGCAUGGAGCCAUCCUUGAAAUACCACCCUUUAAUGGCUGGUGUUCUAACGUGGACCCGUAAUCCGGGUUGCGGACAGUGUCUGGUGGGUAGUUUGACUGGGGCGGUCUCCUCCUAAAGAGUAACGGAGGAGCACGAAGGUUAGCUAAUCCUGGUCGGACAUCAGGAGGUUAGUGCAAAGGCAUAAGCUAGCUUGACUGCGAGAGUGACGGCUCGAGCAGGUGCGAAAGCAGGUCUUAGUGAUCCGGUGGUUCUGAAUGGAAGGGCCAUCGCUCAACGGAUAAAAGGUACUCCGGGGAUAACAGGCUGAUACCGCCCAAGAGUUCAUAUCGACGGCGGUGUUUGGCACCUCGAUGUCGGCUCAUCACAUCCUGGGGCUGAAGUAGGUCCCAAGGGUAUGGCUGUUCGCCAUUUAAAGUGGUACGCGAGCUGGGUUUAGAACGUCGUGAGACAGUUCGGUCCCUAUCUGCCGUGGGCGCUGGAGAAUUGAGGGGGGCUGCUCCUAGUACGAGAGGACCGGAGUGGACGCAUCACUGGUGUUCGGGUUGUCAUGCCAAUGGCAUUGCCCGGUAGCUAAAUGCGGAAGAGAUAAGUGCUGAAAGCAUCUAAGCACGAAACUUGCCCCGAGAUGAGUUCUCCCUGACUCCUUGAGAGUCCUGAAGGAACGUUAAAGACGAUGACGUUGAUAGGUCGGGUGUGUAAGUGUAGCGAUACAUUGAGCUAACCGAUACUAAUGAACCGUGAGGCUUAACCUUACAACGCCGAAG
rnacentral:rRNA from 1 species